CGAAGCCUUUCUCUUAUCUCUCGUUCUCUUUUCCUUUAUCAGCUUAACCAUAAGCGCCGCAAACCACCUUUUUUACAUGUCUCGCCGUUAAUGGCAACAAUACAGAGGUGCAAACCUCCUUUGACUGUUGCACAACCAUUUUUGUGUAACAAUUUCCGGAAAAUCGCAUCAAGGUAAAACCUUUUUACUUCUUAUUUUUUUCUUCGAGUCAACGAAGAUCUGAUAUUUUUUGGCAUGUGACUAUAUGUACGAGCUCAUUUUUAUUGGUUCUGGGUCGUUUGACUUAGAUCGAUUCGUUUCAAGUCGAAAUUUGACCGUCCUUUGUUUCAUUUUGUAAAUCCUAGUCGUUGAUUUCGUUGUUUAAGGUUAUUUUUUGGUAAAAAUUGUUUGUCCCACACCGAUGGUAUUUGGGUUUUUGAAAGGGUUUCACCCCUAUAUAAAGGGGUUCCCAUUUUUCAUUUGAAGACAGAGAUAUAUAGAAAAAAUUGUAAAAUCUUACAAAAAUCGAAUUUGUUUUCGUAUUGUAAGUCUUUGAAAAUACUUAGGGUUUGUUCUAAAUUUGAACCCUUACCAUUUUCAGUAAGUUAAAAUUUUAAAAUAUUAUUUUAGUUGUUAUUGUGUGGCUUGUGUUUUAGGUUGAGUAUUUUGAGGUUUGAAGCAUCCAAGUCUCAUCUCUUCCAGGCUGCACAGCUACAAGGGAGACUUAAUAAGCCAUUAAGGAUUAAGCUUGAGUCCUCCCCAGUGUCUGCCAUGUCUAGGGUUCAUGAAACCCCUUGAAUCUUAUGCGACAUCGGGAAUAUGGAGGUAAAAUCUUUCUUUCAUUGGCUACUCUAUAUCCCUAUAAAUGUAGAAAUAGGUGUAUAUGGGCAGUAUAUACAAGUAUAUCCAUAUGACUUUGACUUAUUCAAAAUAACUUGGGUCUAUCUUUUAAAGUUUUAAUCUAUGGCCUCAAUGUAAUUCAGUUAUGUAGCCUAUAUUCAGCCUGCUUUAUUUAUACUUUGAUGUACUUGUCUAAAACUGGAUAUAAAUUUUGUACUCCUUGUGUUAUGUGCGUAAAUCACUCUCCUUGCAUUGUUGGGCCAUUUCAUCUACCAAAGCAGGAAUUGGGCCGAGGCCCAGUUCCAAGUUCAGAUCGAGUCCUAUUGCAAGUUGAAAGGGAAGCAAAUAUUGUGUUGAAGGCCCAGCUAUGGGUAAAAAUAGCCUAAUGGGUCUUUGGUAGCCCAUUAGUGAAAUCUCUCUCUCCCUUCUAUUAUUUGAUUGUCUGUACAAAUGUAAAUUAAACCUCAUUAUUAGUGAAACCCUUGUGUAUGUUAGGAUUUAGGAAAAACAACUUAGUAAUUUAGGCAAUGUCGUCAA